rfam:Aspergillus niger DNA, contig: scaffold669_023, strain: An76, whole genome shotgun sequence.
GUCUCCAUGGUGUAGUGGUUAUCACGUGGGUCUCAUACGAGCAAAGUAUGACUUGAAGGCCUUCACCUUCAGGAAAUCCCAAGGCCGGGAGUUCGAUCCUCCCUGGGGACA